rnacentral:rRNA from 1 species
UGGGGGAUAUUGGACAAUGGGGGGAACCCUGAUCCAGCGAUGCCGCGUGAGGGAAGAAGGUUUUCGGAUUGUAAACCUCUGUGGAGGGGGACGAUAAUGACGGUACCCCUCAAGGAAGCCACGGCUAACUACGUGCCAGCAGCCGCGGUAAUACGUAGGUGGCGAGCGUUGUCCGGAAUUACUGGGUGUAAAGGGAGUGUAGGCGGGAAUGCAAGUCAGAAGUGAAAAUUACGGGCUCAACCCGUAACCUGCUUUUGAAACUGUAUUUCUUGAGUGAAGUAGAGGCAAGCGGAAUUCCAAGUGUAGCGGUGAAAUGCGUAGAUAUUUGGAGGAACACCAGUGGCGAAGGCGGCUUGCUGGGCUUUUACUGACGCUGAGGCUCGAAAGCGUGGGGAGCAAACAGG